UACGUAGGCAGCAAGCGUUGUUCGGAGUUACUGGGCGUAAAGAGUAUGUAGGCGGUUGCGUAAGUUCGGUGUGAAAUCUCCCGGCUUAACUGGGAGGGUGCGCCGAAAACUGCGUGGCUAGAGUGCGGGAGAGGAGAGCGGAAUUCCUGGUGUAGCGGUGAAAUGCGUAGAUAUCAGGAGGAACACCGGCGGUGUAGACGACUCUCUGGACCGUUACUGACGCUGAGAUACGAAAGCGUGGGUAGCAAACAGG
rnacentral:rRNA from 1 species